rnacentral:lncRNA from 1 species
AAAAAAAGAGUUUACCUGGGAGUGUAAAGCUGAUCCUUUGAUAGCUUCCUAUUUUAACCAAUUAUUCAUGCUCAAUGGGUACUAAUUCCAAUUUCUGUCUGGUGAAGAACACAGGAGUGUCAGAGCCUUCUAAAUUUAAAUCCAGUACAUGUUCAAGUUAAGACAUUCCUGAUAUCAUUGGUCUUCUUCAAAAAUAAAGGAUGAACAAGAUUUUGAUAUCCUGGAAUCAAAGCCCUAGUUAUCUUGACCUCAUUUUCACUCUGUCUUGUUAGGAGCUACAGAGGAGCUUGGUAGAAGUCCCCAACAUGGAUUUUACCUUCUACUCUCAUGAUACUUUUUUGCAAAGGGCAUCAUAUACUCCAUGUGUCCAAGGCUUGUUCAGGUUCCUUGAAGUUGGGAUUGUUCUCCCCUAGCAGUAUGUCAGUAGAAUGACAGAUCUGGAAGGGGAUUUGAAGACCGUUAAAUUUAACCCUCUGUUGGUGUGUUCAUUUAAAGGAAGAAA